ensembl:lncRNA
GGAGUGUUUUCAGUUGUUUAUUGAAACAGUAUGAACAAAAACACUGCAAUUAAAUAAAAGGACAAAAAAAAUCUGACAAUAAAAUGAAAGACCUAGAUUUGAUAAUAUGGAGCAAAAGCAGAAACAAACAUCGUUGCAAACGAUUGCAGUGUCUAAAGCGGAUCCAUUAAACAAUUGUCAUCCCUCAUUCAGUGCACUUAUUAACAGAGUUCUUAAAGCAAGCGGAGCUAAGCUGAGACUGAAUAAUUUUUACACCCAUUAAUGUCCACUAACGAUUAUGAAGAAAAUGUGCCUAAAACUGGGUGCAACCAUGAAAGUCAAAACAUCCUUUGCAUGCAUUCAGGGGGGAACCUGUAUUUAAAGAUUGUGUGUGCUUGCUUGGUAUACUCUAUCCAAACUAAAGUAAGCAGAAGUACAGUGAAUACAUUGUAAAGGACAAUGCUAGCAGAAUGGGGGCUGAUGACUUCUACCUGUAUACGGAACACAUGAUUUUGUGAGAACCUGAAGUCGUCAAAGCUGUCCUAUUGGAAUGGGUGACAGUUAAAGUACAGUCCAUUCACAUUACUGCACUUUAAAAGUAAAAUCUCCAAACUAUCCAGGGAAUACCAGAGACAGUGGCACAAAACCUUCUGCAAAAUUUCACAGAUCUGUAUUAGGUUUUUAUGUCAGUGUUAAAGCUGGCAGAAUGUCACGUUACACUUGCAAAUGAGGCGUCUUUUCAUUAGCCCCUCGCUAACCCUCAGAACAUGAGCACAAUGUCGAAACAACUUCUGCAUACAGUGCUUCAUAUAGUUGUUGAACAUUUUGGUAGGUAGGGACCCAUUGGCUAGGUGUUAAGGUGAGAAAAUACCAUGUGGAUGUUUUUGGCUGCUUUCCAAUGUCCCAUUAACUGAAUGCUAUAGUGAGCAACUGCAACAUAUAAUCAAGUAAUAACUGUAGUCCCUUUGCAUGGUAUAUACACCCUAUUAAAUUCACCACAUUCUCUUCCGCCUUUUCCCCCCUCUGUAUUCAACUUUUUAUUUUCAUUUUCUGUUUCUUUUGUGUCGUAUUUCUAGGUCGUCUUCAACUCAAAUGCAAAUUGGAAUGAAUGUACACACCACUGCAUAAGAGAGAGCGUUUUCUACCACAAGUUAAAUAAUCCCUUACUUCCUUUCUUUUUACAAACACAUAUGAAAAAUCCUGAAAUUCACUGGCAUCCUGUGGGUCACUGUGGAUGUCAGUGGGGGGGUGGGUCAUCCCCCUGUUUGGAUAUUAGCGUGGAGGGUUGCUGUGUGGUUGGGCAGGACCAUUGAUAUCAAUGGCUCUGUCUGGGGGUUGGGGGAGAAACAUUCUUCUCCCCCCCACACCUCCCCCUCCUUUUGGCAACAGUACAAGAUCUUGGUUAGGUUCGUGCUGGUAGCAUGCUUGCUUAAUGACAGGAAAUUACGUAGUUCAGAAUUGCCAGAACUUUUUUGGGACUUCCUGUCUUGCAGCCUUUCUCCUCAGGGGCUGAGGGAUGAAGAGAAGGAGAAAGAGUAAAACACACAGGCCAACACACAACAAAAUCUGCUCACGGCUCAUACAUUUCAGAUGAUUUAAAAAAUGGUUUGGAUAAAUGAGAUCUAAAAAGCUGCUUGGUUUAUGAUUUUAACGAUAC